rnacentral:lncRNA from 1 species
CAGCAGCUGUUUGAUGAAGACAUAGUUUGAUGUUUAGGAUGAAACAAGCAGUAAUAAGUAGGUGAUGAGGAAUGUGAAGCCAAAAAUGAGUUAAAAAAAGACAGAAAUCUAACUGAAAGUGUGCAGAGUUAGUCAGUCAGAUGGGUUUUCAGGGGAGAGUGAAAUCAGUAGACAGAAUGGCUCAGAUGUUUUUAUCCACAGAUGAACAGAGUUCUUAUCAAACAACCAACAGCUUCAUUCCUGUGUGUUUGUGUCUGUGUGUGUGAUAGAGAGACUGUUUCCAGGAAAUCAGGAUGUGGGAGUCUUUUUGGGAGAACAUAGUUCCUACAUUUGUUUCUUUGUGUGUGUCUUGUAACUAAUGUGGGAGGAGCCAUUGACAAACAGCUGGAGCAGAGAGCUGAUCACUGAAAACAGACAGAUUCAGACAGAGAGACAGACAGAGCUGUUUCAGAGAGAGGUGGGACGCUGAAGACAGAAAAAUGUCUUUUUUUGAUUUCUGGAGCAGCACGAAGGAGAGAGGCGCGCUGGUGAGGAGAGCCAAUCAGCUGAGGCUGAAUCCUUCACAGCUAACCCUGCUGCUAGGUGACAACAAGAUCCGGGCGGCAUUGCAGGAUGACAGCAUGGUGUCUCUGCUGCCACCUGUGGGUACGGAGGUCUUCAGACGCUUCACAACAGCCUCACAGGAAGUCCAACAACAACAUGUAGCUGAAGCAAAGGAGCGAAAGACAUGGAAGGACAAAUGGGUACUGAUCAACUUCUAACUGUCAAUAACUGACAACUAAUGAGGGCACUUGAUACUUCUAAUCAACUGUAUGACAGGAAGGUCCUGUGUGUAACCUAGGUAACUGAGAAAAACCUGCCCAAACCAGCUGCUCACCUGGAGACUGGGAAGUCCCUCCCCUUAAUCUAUGGGGACCCACCCCCUCAGCUUCUCAACACCCCAUUGGAGGAUCUAGAUCCCUUCUACCAAUCACGGAAGGUCUCUGACCUGUCUGUCCCUCACUCGUCUGUCUGUCUCUUACUUGUCUGUCUCUCACCUGUCUGUCCCCUACCUGUCUGUAUCUCACCUGCUUCUCUGUCCCUCACCUGUCUCUCUGCAGACCUUCGUGGUUCUCAGUAAAGGAAACAUCAUUAACAGGUUUAGUGCUGACUCGUCUUGUUACCUGCUGAGUCCAUUCUACCCGUUGAGGACCCUCGCUAUCAAGACCCUUCUUCAUCCAUAUCCUUUAUGAUGUCAUAGUGUCAGGAGCCUCUGUGUGGUCAGGUUUUAGCUCUCUGGACCAUGUGACCAAGUUAAUCUGGAUUAGAUUUGAUUUGUAUUGUAGAGACGACAGGUGAGGUGAGGUUUCCCUGAACUCUCACACUUUCUUCAGUAUAUUCAUCCUACUGGCGAUCCUGAGCUUAGGUGUUCUGCGGUUCAACUUUCCUGUAAUGAAGUGAGAUACACACACACACACACACACACACACACACACACACACACAGAUCAUUCAUCAGAGCAGAAAAACACGACAAAGUGAUGAACAGAUGUGGGCUGUUGAUGGCAGCAUCGAUGAGUCACAGCAUGAGAAUGGUUUUAAAGUCUAAAUCCAUGCUAAGGCUCAAAGACAAAGAGCCAGUCUGUCCUCAGUCAGUCCUCAGUCUGACAGCAGCAGCACAGAGAGGUCUGUAAAGGUCAAACUGACUUUGCUCGCUGUUGUCGAGACAGGAAAUGCUCAGAGUGUUCUGAUAUGUGAACAGAUUUGUCAUUCAGACAAUUAAGAGACGACUUAAAGGGCCUGUUGUGACGUUUGUCUAUUUUGGAGAGAUCUGCUGUGGGAGUGUUUGCCUGCUCUUCAAUAUAAUGGAAAUACUUUUACUGUCUUGGGCUGGCUGUAGCUCGGGAGGUAGACUCAAACUAGCUAACUGAAAGUUUGGCAGUUCAGUCCCUGCCUACUCCAGUCUGCAUGCUAUUAAAUCCCAGUUCUUUCGUAUUCUUUACGGCCAAGAAAGACACAGGGCUCAAAGUGGUCAAACUCAAACAAUGAUCUUUAAUUUUACGUAUCCGGAUAUGGAGACCUGAACACAAAGCACACAAUCCCAGGUCUGAAGCACAAAUGGAAGCCUAGCUAUUUAUAUACUCGCUCUCUACGUCACAUCACACUUUAAGUUUCGAUCAAACAGCCUAGUUGGUUUCACUUUCUGGUCCUAUGCUCUGCAAAAGUAUGCAGUUACCACGCUUUUGCAAAAGCAUGUCGUUUCCUGUCAACACUUUUGGCACAGAGUGUACUCAAAGUUAGGCCUUUCUUAUAUAAAGCAAUAUAAUCAGCAUCUAAGCAUUUAAGAUUAUAAAUUUAAACCCCAACAAUGCCAAAGUAUCCUUGGGCAAGAACUGUGAGCUGGUGUGAAAGCUCUCUGUCUCACAUGUAUGUGAACAGCUACGUGUACAUGGCCAUCUUCAUCUUUGAGGCUCUGGUGAAAAUCGUGGCGAGAGGCUUCUGUGUGGGACUCUUCACCUUCCUCAGAGAUCCCUGGAACUGGCUGGACAUCAUCAUCAUCAGCACCCUGUAAGGCUCAAUAACACACCUCACACUCUCACACAGACUCUAUGUAAAGCCUUAAAUCUGCAUUCUUUCUAAUGACCAGCAGGGGGCAGCUUCAGGUUGCAAAAACAAAAUUCAGUGUAAUCUGUUUUAGAUUUAUUGGAAAACGGCUGACAUGAAGUUGGUGAGACUUAUUUCUCUGCCGUGAUUCUGUGACAUGUACAGUCAUUGGAAAAGAAAAUUUUCACAGGACGAUCCUGAGAAAAACCAAGUCCAGCCUUACUCCCUUCAUGGGAAUUAAGAGGGUAAGCAGCAGCCAGGUGCUCCUAAUCGAGCCAGACUGAUUAGUCAUGCAGAAAAUGAUCACUUCAAGUUGUUGCUGCUGAAGGUGUCUCUCCAAGCUACUCACUGAUGAGGUAUAAUUAGGACUGCUUAUACUGUGAGUUUGUAAACGGAAGAGCUCAUCUUUGUUCACUUCUUUAAUGUUGGUUACAGAUUAACACGAUCCAAAAAACAGGAAACACUAUAAAAGAGCCUUCACAAUAAGAGCCUCUCAGUCCUGAAUAACAAGGCUCACUGCAGCUGAGAAAAUACUCAAGAAAUGUGAU